AAAUGAUGGCUUGAAAUUGAGUUUUGUGAGCCACUGCUUUGCAUGGCAGGCUCUACUGGUUUGAAAGCCCUGUUGAGAUAGCUGCUUCUAAACAGGAAUAAAAAUAGACAUUUGAGUGUUCUGAUUUUAGAAAAAAAAAUGCAUUUAUUGGAUUAUGAUUGGCUGAUGGCUUUGAAGCUGGAGACAGUUUUGUAUUACAGAGCUUCUCACUCUGCUUAUUCUCUCAGUUCCCGUUCGUUCCCCCCCUCCUUUUUUUUUUUUUUUUUUUUCUCUUUUCUUGCUUUCUAUUUUUAGGAUGGCAUUUCAGAGCUUCUGCUACUGGCAGGCCAGCUAUUCCAGAACAAAAAGAAAGAAAGUGGAUGAAAGCUCUGCUUGCGCUCGAAGCCAUCAGUUCACGUGUUCUGACAGUCCCUGUGCACUGCAGUGGAAGAGAGGAGAAGUGGCAAGUUUGGAGCUUCAAUUCUUUUUGUCCAGCAGAACUAGCUCCAGGUAGAAAAUGGGAUUUUAGUUGGCCUGUUUAUGGGGGAAGAAAAGAAGAACGCAUUGGGACCUAAUGGAAAAAAAAACAUAGUACUCUAUUAACAUUUGAACAAAAGAUAAAUAACCCUUGUUUAG